UUGAACGCUGGCGGCAGGCCUAACACAUGCAAGUCGAGCGGUAACACAGAGAGCUUGCUCUCGGGUGACGAGCGGCGGACGGGUGAGUAAUGUCUGGGAAACUGCCUGAUGGAGGGGGAUAACUACUGGAAACGGUAGCUAAUACCGCAUAACGUCGCAAGACCAAAGUGGGGGACCUUCGGGCCUCAUGCCAUCAGAUGUGCCCAGAUGGGAUUAGCUAGUAGGUGGGGUAACGGCUCACCUAGGCGACGAUCCCUAGCUGGUCUGAGAGGAUGACCAGCCACACUGGAACUGAGACACGGUCCAGACUCCUACGGGAGGCAGCAGUGGGGAAUAUUGCACAAUGGGCGCAAGCCUGAUGCAGCCAUGCCGCGUGUGUGAAGAAGGCCUUCGGGUUGUAAAGCACUUUCAGCGGGGAGGAAGGCGGUGAGGUUAAUAACCUCAUCGAUUGACGUUACCCGCAGAAGAAGCACCGGCUAACUCCGUGCCAGCAGCCGCGGUAAUACGGAGGGUGCAAGCGUUAAUCGGAAUUACUGGGCGUAAAGCGCACGCAGGCGGUCUGUCAAGUCGGAUGUGAAAUCCCCGGGCUCAACCUGGGAACUGCAUUCGAAACUGGCAGGCUAGAGUCUUGUAGAGGGGGGUAGAAUUCCAGGUGUAGCGGUGAAAUGCGUAGAGAUCUGGAGGAAUACCGGUGGCGAAGGCGGCCCCCUGGACAAAGACUGACGCUCAGGUGCGAAAGCGUGGGGAGCAAACAGGAUUAGAUACCCUGGUAGUCCACGCCGUAAACGAUGUCGAUUUGGAGGUUGUGCCCUUGAGGCGUGGCUUCCGGAGCUAACGCGUUAAAUCGACCGCCUGGGGAGUACGGCCGCAAGGUUAAAACUCAAAUGAAUUGACGGGGGCCCGCACAAGCGGUGGAGCAUGUGGUUUGAUUCGAUGCAACGCGAAGAACGUGACCUGGUCUUGACAUCCACAGAACUUUCCAGAGAUGGAUUGGUGCCUUCGGGAACUGUGAGACAGGUGCUGCAUGGCUGUCGUCAGCUCGUGUUGUGAAAUGUUGGGUUAAGUCCCGCAACGAGCGCAACCCUUAUCCUUUGUUGCCAGCGGUUAGGCCGGGAACUCAAAGGAGACUGCCAGUGAUAAACUGGAGGAAGGUGGGGAUGACGUCAAGUCAUCAUGGCCCUUACGACCAGGGCUACACACGUGCUACAAUGGCAUAUACAAAGAGAAGCGACCUCGCGAGAGCAAGCGGACCUCAUAAAGUAUGUCGUAGUCCGGAUUGGAGUCUGCAACUCGACUCCAUGAAGUCGGAAUCGCUAGUAAUCGUAGAUCAGAAUGCUACGGUGAAUACGUUCCCGGGCCUUGUACACACCGCCCGUCACACCAUGGGAGUGGGUUGCAAAAGAAGUAGGUAGCUUAACCUUCGGGAGGGCGCUUACCACUUUGUGAUUCAUGACUGGGGUG
rnacentral:rRNA from 1 species